CGCGAAUUUUAACGGGGAGUCCCCCUCGAAAUGCGAUUGGGCUAGAUUUGAGUAACAAUUGGGCGGGUUUUGUUGUGAAAACCUGGCAACCCUGGCUGUAACGCUCCUCCGUGUUUAAUACUGUGUUUAGUGUAGUGAGCCGAGCACAUAUAUGCCGAGAUCUCUUCUAAAGCAGCUGUGUUUCGCAGAAUCUCUUUAGGAGCCCAACAUGCCUAAAAGAAAGAAAGCAGACAGGGAUGCAAAGGAUGAGCCUCAGAGGAGAUCUGCACGGUUAUCGGCAAGACCCGCUCCUGUGAAGACUGCACCCAAACCAAAAAAGACAGAUAAGAAAGACAAAGCAGCCAAUGUCAAAAAGGAGGAUAAAAAGACCAAGGUGAAGGCCAAGGAGAGCUCAGAGUCUGCAGCCAGCGAGGAGAACCACUCUGAAAAUUGAGAGGCCAAGACCAAAGCGGUCACACAGACUCAAAAAGAAACGAAGGAAGCGAAGUCUGAGUAGCACUCUUGCCUCUCAUCAACACUGUCGUCGCAGCUCCUCAUCAUUCCCAGUGUUGUGUCAUUGUCAACCUCCAAGGCAUAUUGUUCACAGAGAAAUAUUUUUAUCAAUGGUUUUAUAAGCAUCAGCAUGGAUUUUUAGCACAAACUGAAGCUAAAUGCUGAGCACCUUGUAGAUUUGCAGUGAUUGUUUCUGUGAGAAUGCCACACUAAAGGUAUUUUUAAAUGCCAUUUAUUGUUAUUGAUAACUUAUUUGGUCUAGAAAAAUCAGACGUCAUCAAGUUCUUAAAACACGGCUGAGGGAAAUCGUCUUUUUGUUUAAUCAUUUGUCCUAGAUUUUGGUGUAUUAUUAAUAACAGUGGGGGAUCACAACCUGUAAGCAGAGAUUUAAGAGAGCGGAUAUAUUUCACUGUCCCUUGCAAAAAAUAAAAUCUAAAGGUUAAUGGCAGCUUGUUAAAUGUUUUCAUGCAAAUAGUAAUUUUUUUACCAUGUGAUUCUGACGUGUUGAAGUCUGCAGGUUAUGAUGUACACUCUCUAAUGUUGCAGUGUCUGCUAAUAAAGAAAAUGGAAUUCCUCACUUUUGCCUCUCCCUUUUUUUUUAUUCAAAAACUAAACAGCAAUAAA
rnacentral:lncRNA from 1 species